rnacentral:rRNA from 1 species
GGUCAAAUUAUAAAGGGCUUACGGUGGAUGCCUUGGGACCAAGGGCCGAAGAAGGACGCGGUAAGGCUGCGAUAAGCCUCGAUGAGCCGUCUAACAGGCGUAAUCGGGGGUCUCCGAAUUGGGUAACCUGUUCCGGCGUUGAGUCGGUCCAUCCGCCACCGGCGGAAGGUAAGUGGGGGAACUGAAACAUCUAAGUACCCCGAGGAAAAGAAAUCAACCGAGAUUCCCUUAGUAGUGGC